UGGAGGAUGAGAGAUACUUCCAAGAUUGUCUCCUGAAACCAGAGGAGAAUGGAGUGGAGAUACUGAGAGGGGCUGCAUCUCCUCGGGAACACGACCAUGCGGGCUGUGAGAGCAGACGGUCUACAGAGAGGGGCGGAUCGUGAGUCGUCCAGUCUCGGUUCCAGUCCACCUGUAUCCUGACGACUGUUUCUCUAGAAAGAAAAACACCUCCUCUGUCUCUUUCUCUCUCUGUGUAAGCACGUGGGCUUGUGAGAAGAGCAGAACUUGAGGCACAGAACAGACACAGUCAGACUUUUGCACUAAGAGACCAUCAAACUCCAGCAGGUCUUCUGGAAACAUGAGGCCGUGUCCCCAGGAUGACUCCCCGUAGGCACCUGCCUGGAAAGGCUCAAGGCUGCCGGGACCUGAAGCCGUUCCUUGGAAUGUGAUCACCAGGAAGGACGGGGCCCGUGUCUCCAAGUCUCUGUGGGGGGGAUAGAAGCCCAGCUUCCAAUCCUGCCAGCUGGCCCACCCCUGCCCACGUUACUGUGCCGGUCCCUCAUGUGGUCAUGACUGUAGGCGUGACAGUAGGUGCCUGGCCGCCCGCUCAUUGGGAUCCUGCCAGCCAGAAGCAAGCAGGAAAAGCAGGUAAGUUCAAGGAA